CCUACGGGAGGCAGCAGUGGGGAAUAUUGCGCAAUGGUCGAAAGCCUGACGCAGCGACGCCGCGUGAGGGAUGAAGGUCUUCGGAUCGUAAACCUCUGUCAGCAGGGAAGAACGGUCACUGUGCUAAUCAGCAGUGAAUUGACGGUACCUGCAAAGGACGCACCGGCUAACUCCGUGCCAGCAGCCGCGGUAAUACGGGGGGUGCGAGCGUUAAUCGGCAUUCAUGGGCGUAAAGCGCUCGUAGGCGGUAUGUCAAGUCAAGGGUGAAAUCCCCGCGCUCAACGUGGGAACUGCCUUUGAAAAUGGCAAACGGGAGUGGGUGAGAGGAUAGUGGAAUUCCAGGUGUAGGAGUGAA
rnacentral:rRNA from 1 species